rnacentral:rRNA from 1 species
MUAAGACGAGAAGACCCUGUGGAGCUUUAAAUUCUAACCAAACCAUGCUAACACAGCAUACCAUAUAUGGCCAACAAUUUUAAGUUGGGGCGACUUCGGAACAAAAUAAAACUUCCGAGCAUAAAGAGCAUUCCUCUAACCAAGACCAACAAGUCAAAGCAAAUAUUGACCCAGUAUUACUGAUCAACGAACCAAGUUACCCCAGGGAUAACAGCGCUAUCUUCUUCAAGAGUCCAUAUCGACAAGAAGGUUUACGACCUCGAUGUUGGAUCAGGACACCCAAAUGGUGCAGCAGCUAUUAAAGGUUCGUUUGUUCAACGAUUAACAGUCCU